rnacentral:rRNA from 1 species
AUGAUUAGAGAUUUCUGGUGGGGAGACAUAGAAGGACACCGAAAGGUGCACUGGAUGUCAUGGGAAUGGAUGACAAUGCCAAAGAGGGCGGGGGGCAUUGGUUUCAAAGAUAUGAAUUUUUUUAACCAAGCGCUCCUGGCCAAACAGGGUUGGAGGCUAUUACAGAACCCAAAUAGUGUGUGUGCAAGGGUACUGAAGUCCAAAUAUUACCCAAAUGGCAAUCUCUUGGAUACGGUGUUCGCCUCUGACGCUUCCCCAGUGUGGAGAGGCAUCGAGUUUGGUCUUGAACUAUUGAAAAAAGGAAUUAUUUGGAGGGUUGGAGACGGGAAAGACAUACAAAUUCAAAGAGAUCAAUGGAUACCC